GGGGGAGGCUGUUGCAAAGGUAGAGAGGGAGAAGUGACGAUGGUGAUCGUUGCUGCCGCGGCCGAUAUGGAACCCAAGCAGUGGCGAAGGGAAUCGCAAGGCUCUUCCCUGACCAUUUUCUACUGUCCCUGCGCGAGGUGAGGGCCCCGGCUCGGCCUCUGCAAAACUUUGGGGCGCUGGCGCGGAGGAGGAGACAGGAUUUCUCCCGUGACUUUUGUAACUGCGUCAGGGCAAGAUGGCGCUGGGUCUCUUUGGGGCGCGGGGGGAGAGGCACGUCCACCGCCGCAGCGCAUGUGACCGGGCUGCAUUCCUGUGGGGUUUGGCUCCGACCCAGGCCGGGGCGGGGGAGGGGACAGGGCUUGGGCGGAGGAGACUGUGGUGCGGUCGGCGUUGGCGGCCUGAAGAGGAAGAGAUGACUGUUGGAAAGCGUUCCCCUCCCCCAUACGGCAGAACAGCUGCGGCUCCCAGGGGAAAGCCCCCGCAGGACAGUCCUCGUGGGGUGUGACGGCUGUUGGUGGAGAAGGUUUGGCGCCCUAUUUUCUUAUCUGCCUUUCUCCCCGCAAAGUAUACUUAUGUAAGGUGGUAGUUCCCUGACGUGGGACUCGGAAUCAACUAGGAGUCCUUGAGGGCCUCUGGGAGGCCUAGCGAGGGGUAGACCAGCUUCUGGGGGUACAACGUCAAGGAGGAUCGAUUACUUUCUGAGGAAACAGUUUCUCAGAUUGAAAUAGAAAAGUAUUUCCAAAGUUUGGAAACAAAUUUAAAGGUGUAAAUAACACCCAGGAACACUUUAAUUGCUUUGAAAAGGCAUAAGCAGCCAUCUGAAUUUAAGGGCCCUUUUCAGACUCUUCCUUCCUCCUGUGAUUCCUGUUCUUUAUUUCAGUUUUCUGUCUGUACAUCCCUUAAGAAUAUAGUUUUGUCGGUGGGAUUCGCUCUUUUGUGCCCAGGCUGGAGUGCAGAGGCGAGAUCUCGGCCCACUGCAACCUCCGCCUCCCCGGGUUCAGGCGAGUCUCCUGCCUCAGCCUCCCAGGUAGCUGGGAUUACAGGCGCCCACAACCACACCCUGCUAAUUUUUUCUAUUUUUAGUAGAGACGGGGUUUCACCCCAUUGACCAGGCUGGUCUCGAACUCUCGAGAUCCGCCCGUCUCAGCUUCCCAAAGUGCUGGGAUUAUAGGCAUGAGCCACCGCGCCGGGCCUGCUUUUUUUUUUUUUUUUUUUUUUUGCACUGGGCAUUAGUAAUACGGAAUAAAAGCCGUGUUUUAAACUGUAUUAAGUUGUAAGACUUUUCAGUACUUUCAAGUCUGCUUUCUUUCUGUUGCCCUUUUGUAGUUUUUAAAAAUAAAAGAUGCAAUUAUAAGCACU
rnacentral:lncRNA from 1 species